rnacentral:rRNA from 1 species
AAUGGCUGCAGUAAUUUGACUGUACAAAGGUAGCAUAAUCAUUAGUUUUUUAAUUAAAAGCUUGUAUGAAAGGUUGGACGAAGUAAAAUCUGUCUCUUUUUAAUAUAAUUAGAAUUUAAUUUUUAAGUUAAAAAGCUUAAAUUUUUAUAAAAGACGAGAAGACCCUAUAGAGUUUAAUAAUUUAUUUUGUAAUAAUUAAUUUAGAUUAUUUAAUUUUAUUAUAUUAAAAUUAUUUUAUUGGGGUAAUAAAAAGAUUUAAAUAAUUCUUUUUUAUUUAAACAUUAAUUUAUGAAAAUAUGAUCCAUUUUUAAUGAUUAUAAGAUUAAAUUACCUUAGGGAUAACAGCGUAAUUUUUUUAGAGAGUUCAUAUCGAUAAAAAAGUUUGCGACCUCGAUGUUGGAUUAAAGAUUAAUUUAGGUGUAGAAGUUUAAAUUUUUGGUCUGUUCGACCAUUAAAUCUUUACAUGAUCUGAGUUCAAACCGGUGUAAGCCAGGUUGGUUUCUAUCUUUAUUAUUAUUUUUAUAUUUUAGUACGAAAGGACCAAAUAUAAUAUAUAUUAAUAUUUAAAUUUUGAAUAU